rnacentral:rRNA from 1 species
GAUCCUGGCUCAGGAUGAACGCUGGCUACAGGCUUAACACAUGCAAGUCGAGGGGAAACGACAUCGAAAGCUUGCUUUUGAUGGGCGUCGACCGGCGCACGGGUGAGUAACGCGUAUCCAACCUGCCCACCACUUGGGGAUAACCUUGCGAAAGUAAGACUAAUGCCCAAUGAUAUCCCACGAAGGCAUCCGAAUGGGAUUAAAGAUUUAUCGGUGAUGGAUGGGGAUGCGUCUGAUUAG